GCGAGGGUGGCGGAACUGGCAUACGCGCCGGACUUAGGAUCCGGUGGGGAAACCCGUGCGGGUUCGACUCCCGCCUCUCGCA
rnacentral:tRNA from 1 species